rnacentral:lncRNA from 1 species
CUACACCAACAUCGUCUUUCUUUGUUUGACAGAGUCCUCUAACUAGAAGACCAGCAAUGGAGCUAUUCCACAAAGCAAAAGCUGUUCGCCUACAGAGUCACCAUUACAAGUACUUAACAGCAUUAGAAGAUGAAGAAUCCAUAACCCAAGAUCGGGAUGGCGCUUCAAGAAAUGCAAGAUGGACCAUAGAAUUCGUCGAAAACACCAAUAAUAUUAUACGCUUAAAAAGUUGUUAUGGCAAGUAUCUUAC